AUCGGGCGCGGUGGCGUACGCCUGUAAUCUAACUAUUUGGUGGCGAGGGUGCGGAAUUUCGCGGGACUAGGAGUUCUGGCAUAUGGGUGCUCAUGUUGAUCGGGCGUCCACGCUAAGCACGGUGCCGUUAUGGAUGACCUGUCGGUGGACGGGUUGUCCAGGUCGACUAAGGAGGGGCGCACCGGCCCAGGGGGGAA
rnacentral:SRP_RNA from 1 species